GACAGAGGCCUCAAGCGUUAGGCGGAAUCACUGGGCUUAAAGCGUGUGUAGGCGGAUCGUUAAGUGUCUUGUGAAAUCCCACGGCUCACCCGUGGAACUGCUGGGCAUACUGGCGAUCUUGGGCCAACUAGGGGCAACUGGAACAAGCGGUGGAGCGGUGAAAUGCGUAGAUAAUCGCUUGGAACGCCAAAGGUGAAACAGGUUGCUGGGGUUGU
rnacentral:rRNA from 1 species